AGAGUUUGAUCCUGGCUCAAAAUCAACGCUGGCGGCGUGCCUCAGACAUGCAGGUCGAACGCGAAAUCUCCCUUCGGGGAGAAAGUAGAGUGGCGCACGGGUGAGUAACACGUAGGUAAUUUGCCUUCGGGUGGGGAAUAACAGCCGGAAACGGCUGCUAAUACCGCAUAAUGCAGCGGCUCGACAUCGAGACAGUUGUUAAAGCGGGGGAUUCGCAAGAACCUCGCGCCUGAAGAGAAGCCUGCGGCAGAUUAGCUAGUUGGUAGGGUAAUGGCCUACCAAGGCAACGAUCUGUAACCGGCCUGAGAGGGCGGUCGGUCACACUGACACUGACAUACGGGUCAGACUCCUACGGGAGGCAGCAGUCGGGAAUUUUGGGCAAUGGGCGAAAGCCUGACCCAGCAACGCCGCGUGAAGGAUGAAAUCCCUCGGGAUGUAAACUUCGCAAGAGCGGGAAGAAUAAGGGGGGGAAUACCCCCCCCAUGAUGACGGUACCGGUUUGUAAGCUCCGGCUAACUCCGUGCCAGCAGCCGCGGUAAUACGGGGG
rnacentral:rRNA from 1 species